rnacentral:lncRNA from 1 species
UAACUUAUAGGAAAUGGAAUUGAAGAUUGUUCUCCUCUAAGUUCAAACAAGGAUUCCAAAAACCACAAGAAUAAUUUGAAAUUUGAAAACCAAACUUAAGAGGCCAAAAUAUCAAAAUUGUUGUUUGUGAAUAAGUUCUGGAUACUAAUGAAAACCUAAGAUUUUUCUAUAAAUACUCAAGAUCUUUUGGAUUUGAAUUUCAAACUCCAUCUUUUCCGACCCAUAUCUAACGACCUCUAGUGACGACGUAUCAAAAAUUUGAUGACUUAUCAGAUAAGUUGUCAAUUCAACUUCUCCAGUAUCUAUGCUCUGCCUACAGGUGAUGACUUCAUCUGAUGACCUAAUAAGAACAAGUUGAUAGAUUAUUAGACCAGUCAUCAACUUGACUUCUUCACCAUAUACAUCCUUUCUAUGGGUGAUGACUUUCUUUUAUAACUUCUCAGCAGGUUGAGGACUUAUCGAACAAGUCAUCAACUGAAAUCUUCAAAACUUAUCUUCAUAUUUGCUUCUUUAGAAAUGUCCUUCUUGACAUAGUUUUCAUAGGUUUUCAUGCAUCUCGACUUCUCUGCAAAAUAAAUUAAAUAUAACAAAAAAUUAACAACAGUUACAUAAGAACUUACAAUUAUUUCAAGCUAAAAGCCUUAAAUGUGCUAACACAACGCUAGAACAUCAGCACCCUCAACUUAAAACACUUGCUUGUCCUCAAGCAACUUGCACAGUAUUAUGCACACAACAAGAGCAUCAAUGCAAAAAGUAGCAUUUGUUUUCUUCAUUUUUUACCCAUUACGAAACAUGUGAUCUUUUUCCUGCCAAGAAACAUCAAGAUUCCAUAAACAUUUUAAAAGUUCAAACAAACAAACCACUACUUCAAAUCAGAAUAUUCAAUGAAAUGUUUAGCAAUUACCACUGCCAUUCACAUGCCCUUACAUUGAAGAAAGAAGUUCCUUACUCUAAAUUUUUCAUAUUUCUUCUAGGAACUAGACAUUAAAUCUCUCACUUUUAGAAUGAAGUUUCAAAUUAUGCACUUACAUGCCAUAGUCUUACCCUUACCAUUCCGUUUGGGUCAUCUAAUAGUUAAAAUAUGAUCACUACAGGGUUUUUUUGGCUUGAAAUGAAGUUUUAAGUGCCGGAAAGGUCAACUUAGGAUUAGUGACUUAGCUCCCUUUGUUCAUUUACACCACUUGGCUACAACCACUUAUUCAUUUGUAUUCCUCUCACAAUCGACUUUUCUGAAUUGGUUUCCUUCAUAGCAUUCCCAAUGAGCACCAUUUAUUUAUUUAUUCAUUUUUUUUGGAAUAUGACAACCUUCAUGACAUCUUUCAUACCUUUCUGUCAUUAUCUCCUCUACUAUAUCCACCCUUAACUUAGGUAAUUUGACUGAAUUGAUAUGUAUAAUAUCCUAAGGGAGAACUAGGGCUAAAAUAAAGGUUUUACUAUGUAAUUAAUGAAAGGUGGUUAGGAUAUGAAACAAGAAAAGAUCUAAUGGCUCAAAAGGAAAACAAAAAGGGAUCUUUUACAACCUUAUGGGUUGUUGGGUCACUUAUAAAUAAUGGCCUGUGAUCAUUUCUCAAAUGAAUAAUUGCAAACUAACAGAAUGACUUGGGAAAGUUCUAGAUGCAAGCAUAUAAUAAGAAAAUAUCUACAAAACCUCACUCUCUCCUAUCAUGGAACUGUAAUGUCAUCACCAAAUACUCAAUCAAGACUCAAGAUCAAGCAUGGAGUGCCAUAUUUUCAUACUUCCAUAAACAAAAAUGGUUUACCAUGCACUCGACAAUCAAUCUUUCAUUCCAAUUUUUUUUAUGAUUUUACAAUUUUUAUACUUUUGGACUUAUACAAUUGCUACUCAGUCACAUCUAUUUCUCAUGCAUACAUAAUACAAAACAAAUCAAAUUAACACACAGUAAAUCCUCAUAUGUUGGUUAUCUUAUAUUAGUCCACUGUGUCUCAUAACACACCUGGUGCUAAUGGUGGUGGAAUAAUUGCUCCUAUAGCACCAGCUUCAUCUAAAUCAGUAUCAUCCUCAUCAUCAAAUGCAAAUUGCACAGUAGGUUGGGGGUUUUCUCUCCCUAUAACUGGAUGAUUUUGAUUCACUAGUGCAGCUAUAUUCUCUACAUGCCUCCUAUUUUCAGGAUCAAUCAGAUCAUCAUCCCCUAGUUCAUCAUUAUCUGCAUUAGCCAAUCAACCUAGGUUAUUGAUGUUUCAUUGAUUGGGCUGUGCAUUAGCCAAAGACGCUAAUAUUUCGGCUUUUUAUUAUGCAGUCAUUCUCCCAAUAAGAUAAGGUUCUGAGUUGAAAGGUAAUAAUAAUUCUCCUAAUCUUAUGGUUCAUUUCAUAAGCAGCAGAAAACCUAUUAAGUUCAAAAACAACAAAUAAAAGUAAAAUUUGGAAAGUUAAUUAAAAGUCAAUUAACAUAGAUAUACUUAAUUGGCAACUGUAUUCCCCGACAAUGGUGCCAAAAUUUGUUUCACCCAAAUUAGACCUCUCUUGUGGGAGAGUAAGCGGUCUUCAUCAAAUAUAUAACACAACUAGGUUGGGGUCGAGUCCAAAAGGGAAUACGGUAUUAAUCAAGACUAUUUGUGAUUCAACUGACUAAUAGUUAAUAUUUCUCUUUAAUUAGGGGUUUUUAUCAAUCAAACAAUUGUUAAUAGUUCAACUUAAUUUAGUAGGUCAAAGUCAAUAUUUCAAUACUUCAAAUCAAUGAUGUAUUAAAACUAGAGUUGUGAUCACUAUGUGUAUUGAUGUUUAUUGAAUAAAAGUUGUAGCACUAAAUCAUUGUGACAUGUGAGAAACCACAAAUUAUCAUUAUGGAUAGAUAAUCCUAGCGUCUCUUAACCUAUAGAGAUGAUCAAUUUCUACAUCCUUUUGAACUUAGGAAUUACCAUCUAUUAUACUGAUUUUAUCAUAAGUUGAUUAGUUUUGUUACAGCAUUAAUCAUUAGAUGGAAAGUCAGUUUUUCUAAUCCCCAUUGAUAAUCCACUUCCUUUAACUGAGUUCUUAGUUCAAGAAAAUAAAGGUAAGUCUAUUUCUAUUAUUUGCAACCAAUAGAAAUCAUGUAAUGCAAAAGAAUUAUCAAGAUAAAUCCCACAGUCAUUCGAAUCUUAUCCAACUAUUAAACCAAUAAAACAAAAGUCAUAAUUCCACAACUCUAGUUAUGGGAUUUAGUUCCUAAUGAGAUAGAAAGAUAUAGGAUAAAUUAAUUCCAUAAAUCAAGAAAUUAACUUACAGAAAAUAGAAUUGAAGAUUGUUCUCCUUCAAGUUCAAACAAGGAUCCCAAAAACCACAACAAUAAUUCGAAAAUGGAAAACCAAACUUAAGAGACCAAAAUAUCAAAACUGUUGUUUGUGAAUAAGUUGCAGGUGCUAAUAAAAUCUAAGAUUUUUCUAUAACUACUAAAGAUCUUGGUGAUUUGAAUUUCAAACUCGAGCUUUUCAGCCCAAUAGCUGAUGACCUCAUAUAAUGACUUAUCAGACAGUUGAGAACUUAUUAGAUAAGUCUUCAGCUCACCUUUUCCAACAUCUAUGUUCUGUCUACAGGUGAUGACUUCAUCUGACGACCUAUCAAGAUGUUGAAGACUUAUUGGACAAGUCAUCAACUUAACUUCUUCAACAUAUACAUCUUGUCUAUGGGUGAUGGCUUCCUUUUAUAACUUAUCAGCAGGUUGAAGACUUAUCAAACAAGUCAUCAACUAAAAUCUUCAAAACUUAUCUUCAUAAUUUCUUUCUUAGAAAUGUCCUUCUAGACAUAGUUUUUGUAGGCUUUCAUUCAUCUCGACUUCACUAUAAAAUCACAUGAAAUAUAAUUGAAAAUAACAAUAGUUACUUAAGAACUUACAAUUAUUUCAAUAUAAAAGCCUUAAAUGUUCUAACACCACGCUAGCAUAUCAACAACCUUAGAUAGUUAUUUCGACCAUGCUAUUGAGUCUGGAGCAUCAAAUUUUAUUGAGUAGCAUAGUUCUUUUGCAUUUAUGGAAUUUUUGAUGGAUACUAAGGGGUUCAGAGGAAACUUUGAGAAAUUCUAAGUCUUCAAUUGGUGUACUCAGUUGGUGCCAUCAUUUAAGAGCCAAUUGGGUCUCUUAAGCGAUGGUUGCUUAAGUGCCUAGCCAGUUUCAUAAAGACCAGGCUUGCUCAGCUGAUGCCGUUUAAUAAAAUCCUUUACCUCUUAAGAGACUCAUAUAUAUGGUUCAAUUGUCACAAAAGUGGAACUUUACAACUUAAGCAAUAACCGUUUAAGCAGCCCAAUAUCUGCUUAAGCGACACCUGCACCAUUCAUUUCCCUAAUUAGUCUAUUUUCUCCUAUUUUCACACUUUUUAAAUUGUGUUGAAUCCUAGAGAUUGUGGAAACUUUGAAGAAAAUUGGUAGAUGGAUUUUUUAUUUUUGUGAGCUUAAAUUUCUUAUUUCUUCUCCAAAAUCUCUCUAUGUUCUCAAUAAUUUCAAGGUAAAUUUCUCAUUUAUUUUCAAAAUUCCCCAGAAUAUUUGUAGGUUUAUUCUACCGCUAUUUGAGCUUGGAAUUUACCCAUUAUUAAGGUUAAAUAUUCCUUAAGCAUGAGGAACACAUUGAUGGUUUUGAAAGAGAGAAUAUGAAAGUGGGGCUGACAUAGGAUUUUAACGUAAUUUUUUAUGCGAAGCACAAAAAUGCUAUAUGGGUACCAUUAUUCUCUUAUUGAUGGGUAGAUUAUUGUUGAUAGCAUAGCAUCAUGCAGAAGCUUCUCUUAAGGAUAAAUUUAUGAUUUAGUGGAUAUCGCUUGGAUUUUAUUUUAUGUACAAGUAGGAUAGGUUUACCUUCUCAUAGAUUGAGAUAAUUUGUAGUAUAUUUAUUAUAAUAUUCUAGAGAUAGGUUAGGAAUUAGGUCUUAGAGAUAUAAUUGUUGUAAUUUGGAAUAUUUUCCUUAUUAUGGAACAGUAAAUCAGACAUAAUCGAUGUAGUUUCUAAUGUUUUAGCUAGGAUUUCUAACUAGGGGCUCAUUAUGUCUUAUUUAACAUCUAGUAGAAAUAUUAGAUACCUUAUCCUUGACCAUAUAUAAUUUUCCUAACAACAAAUUUCUAGGAUUGCAAGUGUGCCUGGGUCAGCUCACCUUAGGCCAAGACUUUUUUUGCUUUUUGUAGACUUAUAUAAGAAUGUUGUACCAUUUUUUUAAUGUUUGUUCGGUAGUUGAAGAGGCUAGAUACAUGAUACUUACGUUAAAAUGGUAUUUGAGAGUUGGUGUUGUGCUUUUAACCAAUUUUUGUGAUUUAUUGAUAUUGAGUUUUACUUCAAGUCAAGCAAUUGAUUAUAUUUAGUAUCGAUUAGUGUCCAGAAUUGAGCGGUUAUUUAUGUUAUGUUAUGGAAUUGAUUUAUAUUCGGUUAUGACUUGGGAUAUGCUUCAUUAAUUUUAUUUAAAUUACUUACCUUAUUUAUUGCUUUAUGUGGGCUUAUGGGGGCCCACAUUGGGUUAUUUAUUUUACAUAAUUACUAAUGUCUGGGGGAUAAUCUUGUAGUAUUAAUUAUCCUUUCAUUCAUAUUUUAUCCCCAUAGAAUAUUUAUUUAAAGUAUUGGAGAAUUAUUCCAGGUUUGACCUUUCAUCUUAACUUAGUUUUUUUAUCAAACAACUUUAUUGUACUUAUAUUAUGAUUUAGCUCAAUCGGACGAUGAUGCCUACUUAGCACCCAUGUUUCUUAUACUCAUAGUAUACUGGUGUUCCUUUUUUGCAUAUCCAAGUAGUACGGGUUGUCAUUGACAUAUACUGCUUAGAUUGCAGCGGCAGAGUGAGCUCUCAGAGUAGGUGUUGACCUUUUCUCCUUCUUCUACUUUUCUUAGUCUUUCACUAUUAGAGACUGAUAUGUAUUGAAUACCACAGUACUUAUAUUCCUUUUUUCUAGUAGCUCCUUUAGUGACACUACUAGGUCAUGGGAUGUUAUUUCUAUCUUAUCUAUCUUUCAAAUUAUUAUUAUUACUUGAAUUAUUACUGUAAGUCAUUAUUUGCAAUUACGUGGAUUAUGUGCCUUUUUCUACCCAAUUAGCCGAUUGAUUAUACUUCUGAGCUAUGGUUUAGUUUACUACUGGUGAGAUAAAAUAAAUGUUGUCAUGAAACAUAAAUUAGAUCAUGGUAGUGAUAUAAUAAGAGUUGUAGAAUCACUAAGUAUUAAUAAUCCGAUUAAGUUGACCCAGAUAGCUAAAGUAGGGUUGAUUAGAGAUGAAACCGACCUAGUUGCACAAACAAUGACACAAUCUUUUACCUCAUUUGUAGUGUCCUUAUUUAAGGGUCUUUUAGAGUCAAUCGAGAAGGUUGAUAGGUCGAUACUGGGUAGUGAGAAUAAUAUAGGUACUCGACAAUUAGAAGGUUCAGAUCUUAUAUGUAGUGAGGGGAUCACAAGCACUUUAGUUUUGCCUUGUCAAUCAAUAGUACCCCCAUGCCUGUCAAUAUUUUUAUGGUUAUGGUAUCUCAAGAUUUUUAGCAAAGAUUAGUGGAUAGGAAGACAGAGCUGGUCGAGCCCCAGACUAACAUAAACACCAAUUUGUUAAGUUACUAAUUAAUAUUAGGCCAUGGGUGUGUGUAACUAUUAAGACACAAGAUUUGUAGAUUGAGGAUCUAAUGAUCACUGUGAUGGAAUAUUUUACGAUUGAGACAUAUGUGAGGAUUGAUAAUUUUGAGAUCUAGAUAGGGGAGAGACUGUACGAGGACCUGAUUAUAAAUCUAUCUAGGGACUUGAUUAUAAAUCUAUCUAGUAUGAUGCAGAAGGUUUCCACAUUGAGGUUUGGGGUUUGUGUAUUAGAGAAGUGCUAUACUCCUAUCAUCUCUCAUUUGUUUCACUCAUCUCACAACCAUUACAUUAAACUCCAUCGAUGGUAAUUUAUUUGUUUGUUGAUGUUAAUGAGCACCUGAUUGCUAGGGUCAAGAGAGAAUGAGUGAUCAUGGAUUAGAUAUGCAAUUUAGAUGAGUUUGAGAGGAAUUUAAAGAGGUCAGUUAGGGAGUAACUAACUCAAUAUCAUCUUUACUAGAUUAAACAUUAAAAAUAGAUUUUAGAGCCUCAUUUAAUCGACACAACUACCUCCUGGGAAUAAUCCUAAUAUGUCUCCUAACAAUUAGUUAGGGGAGAGUCUACAUCCGAUGCCUAGAACAUCGCAGGCAUGUCUCUACUCCCUUGUUUUACUUACUUUCUUAGUUAUGCACUGAGGAUAGUGCAUCAACUUUUAGUUGUUUAUGAGUGUGUACCACCACUUAGGGUUAUUUUUGUUGUGUAUAUCUUUCAAAAAAUGAGCAAUCAUACUAGAGUUGACAUGUCUAGAAUAUUGUAUUUUUUGUUCUUUUGUGUUAUGUUUGAUUAGGAGUAAAAUAAGGAACUUUGGUGAAAUAAAAUCUUUUUUAUGAUUUUUUGUAUUUAAAGGAUACCCCUCUUGAUAUUUUUGUUAAAUUGUUUGUUGUGAAGGUAUGAAAUAGUGACCAUUGUUGGAUAUUGUUAUGACAUUAGUAUUACGGAUAAGAUAAUAGUAGUUUAGAAUUGCAUGAACAUUAUAGGUAGUAGUUAAGGAUGUGACCCUCUAUUUUGUGAUUGUGAGGUGUUUACUUAAUUCUCUUUGUGUGUGCAGUUAAGGACUUGCCCUGAUAGACUUGCCUAGGUUAUAGGUUAUAGGAUAGUUGAUUGGGACCAGAUCAUCAUACAUUCUUGAAAAAAAGUCCACUUUAUCCUAAAUGACCAACCAAAUGAAAUAAAUAUCCUUUGAUCCUAAAUUUGAUCCUUAAUUGACCUAUUUUAAUGUAUUAACCCAUUCAUUGUCAUGUUUUAAUUCCAAUGAACCUAUUUUAGACCUGGUCCUUCAUUGGAUAUUAUAUACCUCAACUUAGGUAAAGCACAUAAUUUUAUGGUGUCUAUCACAGUGGUGGUUAGUUGGAUAUAAGUAUGAAGAAUAAUGUUGAGAAAAAAAAAGAAGGUAAGGUUGGGUGUCAUAAAAAGGGAAAAAAAGGGAAGAAAAUAAUAAUUGUGAUAAUAAAUAUAAAGUAUUAUGAAAAAUGACACGUAAUCUUUAAAUAAAUAAUGGAGAACAAAGGUGAGCAAAAUCCGCUUGGUUGAGUAGUGGACCUGAUUGAAUAAGCGUAGUGUAACUAUUACCCAUAUGUACCAUACCUGCCAAAAGCCUACAUUACUAGACAAGAAAGGUCAUAUAAUGAUACUAGUGUAAUUACUCGAAAUACUAAGGCAUAGAAAAAAGGGCAAGACUAUGUUAUUUCAUGCACAUUGUUUGAACUUCUUUGUGAGAAUAAGUGGUUUGUUGUCCCUACAUUGAUAUUUAUUACUAUACUGUGAGAUUAUAGGAUCACUUUAUUAUGAGAGUACAUGGGUUUCAUUGUAAUCUUCUAUUUGUUUGGAUAAUGUCUUUUUCAUACAAGCUUGGUUUUUUGUUGGUAAUUAGAUGCCAUCACUUUAUCCCUUUUGUCUCGCGAUAUUGUUCUACAUAUAUACGCACAACGAUUUAAGAAAUUAUGCAUAAAAAGGGGUUGAAAUUUUUUGUUAAACUAAAUGAAUUGGCUGUAUUAGGUACCUUAGGUUUCUCUAAGUUAAGUAUCAUCAGUGUUUAUUGUGUUCUAUUUUGCUGAGGAUACGCAAACUCUCUAUGAUAAGGGUAUUGAUGUUCAAUGGUUUCAUGUUGCUUUUGAUGCUUAAAACAAGGAAGUUAUGAAAGGAUUUGGGUAUUUUUGUUGGGUAUGAUGUGUUUUUUGUUUUGAUUUUGUAGGAUGAAAAUAUUCCAAGGUACGAAAAGUUAGGGACUCAUGAGUGUAUUCAUGACUCAUCCAUGGGACCCAUCUCUAACCACUGGGACCUAUAACUUGAGUUCUAGAGAUGAAAAAAAUGUCUGAUUUCUAAGAUUUGAUCCACUACUCGUGACUCCAACCCAUGACUAAUGGCUUGCAGUCGUGAUUCAUAAACUGUCGACUAAUAAUUAACCUAAUUUCCAUGAUAGUUUCCUAUGAAUCAAGGGUCUAAUCCACGACUGCACCUAUGAGUUGUAAGAUGUUGCUGACUUGGUUCUCCUGUAUUAUUUAGGAUAGGAUUCAUUUUGUAUCUAUAAGUACUCUUUUUUGUUUUGUGUUUAGUUUACAGGCUUUUACAUUAUUUUAUUGUUAUUUGGCAUAUUUUUGAUCUCAGAAUCAUUGAUAUUAGUCUUUAGGGUUUUUACUCAAUUUCUGAUUUUAGUUUUUCAUCUAUUUCUUUUAAGUUCACAAUUAAGCUUCCAUAUAUGAAUUAUUCUAAAGUAUUGACGAUCAUGUGUAUCUAAACCCCAAAACUAGGGUUGUGGGAACCAUAAAGAAAUAUGAAUAUGUUAUUUAGGUAGUCAUUCUAAACCAUCGUGCUUGAAUGUAUUGGUAUUUGAAUAGAUUUGAUUGCUUUCUUAAUGGUUGCAAAUGUUAGGAGCUCAUUUUUAUUUUAUACUUGCUCGAGAGAUCUAUGGAGAUCGGGAAGAAAGAGAUAUUAAUAGUAAUUUGGAGCAAUCAACCUUCAUUUAAAUAAUUUAAUCCUGAAACAUGAUCGUUAAUCUGAUUUCACAAAAUAAGGUUUAGUAAAGUGAUGUUUUGAGGUCUAGAAGAGAUGAGUGAAGUUCAUUUAACAAAGUUUGAGAGAUGGUUGGUGAUGCAUAAGUUGUUAGAUGUUACAUGCAAGGCAAAGAUAUGGUUUGCUAGCACGAAUAACAUAUGAAAUUAGGAAGUUAUGAGAAAUACAAUCCUAGUGCUCGUCUCAUUUUGAUCAUAAUCGAAGUGACCAGCAACAAUUACUAUUAUAAUUUACUUUUACAACCCCCUUCCCUCUAUUUACUUAAUUACAAAUUACAUGGACAAACACCUAAAAAUAUUUUGAUUUAUUCCUUGUGGGAUCGACGCCAACUUUGUUAAGUUCUAUAUUUGACUAAGAAUUUGUUUUAUACUUUUUUGAGAGGUGUAAUUUAGGCAACAUCAGAUAUUGAUCAACCUAGUUAUAUAGUUCAACCUAGCCAUAAUCAAAGAAUUUUAUGCCAUACGCUCCAUAGUAGAGCAGUUUGUAACUCUCCCUACUAUUCAAAUUUAAGAAAGGAAUGUGCUUGUGGAUACUACCACUAUCAAUAUCGUUGUAGGGGUUCCUAACCCUCUAAUAUAGCCUUUAAGGCAAGGGUCUUAAAGUUUAAUUUAAGAUAGGUUGUACGAUACUUGGAACUUAAGGGUAAAGCUGACAAAGUGAGAUGGUCUAUUUAGAGGGGGACCAAGAGUGCAUACUUCUCGAUCAAGGUCAUGAUUUUUUUAGAUUUGUUGUCUCAGAAGAUUUACCAUUCCAGAAAUGUUAAAAAUGUAGUUUUUCAUUUGGUAUGGUUGUGGCAUGCAUUUUGGCGGGGAUUGAGGUGAAUAUGGAGGUACGGAUCAUAGAGAAGUUGCAGUACUUCCAUGACCGAGAGACGUCAGCAAGAGAUUUGUUCUUUUCGUCCUAGAAUAGGAUGUUGUGCAUGUGAGUAGAUGUCCCUGAGGAUGACCAUGCUACCUUCGACGAGUGUGACAUCCCAUAUAAUCCUUCAUGAGGUUUGAGUACCUCUGGCAGGGGCAAAGAAAUAUGGAAGACGAGAGAGAUACUGAGUACAGCAGGGCUAGAGGGAGCGGGUGUAUGAAGUUAAGCUAAACUUAUAUAUUUUAGUAAUUAUUUGCCUCACAUUUAGUAUUUUUAUUUGUUCCUUUUGAGCAUUGAUUUUAUAGAUUGUAACUAAUAUUAUAUUUUUAGGUGUAGGAUUAAAAUGGUGUGAAGAUGAAAAGAUUUGGAGAUAAAAUUAAUUAAAUAUAGAAGAUUAUAGAAGAAAAUUAAGAAGACAACUUAAUGAAAUUAAUUUAAUAAAAUAAUGCAAUAUGACCCAUAGGUGAAACUGACACUAUUGCAUAAAAAUAGAAUGUCAUACCCGGUGUGGCAUGGAAGUCUUCUGAAUUUAAUUUUCCUAGUCCAUUUUGGACUCAGAUAUUUUAUUUGAUAUUUUUUCCUACACCUAUAAAUAUUCCAUAAAAUUAAUUUUCGCAUAAUUUUGACCUAGAGAGAGCUUGAAGCCAUUGUUGAGGCUAAAUAAAAUUGGUUUCAUCUUUUCAUUUCCUUCAUUAUUUAUUUCUACGUUAUUCAUAAGACAAUUUGUUGUAAUUUUUUCAAGUCUAUGUGGAGUUAAAUUUUCAUUCUAGGAUUAUGGUAGCUAGCUGCAUAAUUGUUUAGUUAUUUCUUGGUUUGAUAUGUUUGAUUAUCAUAACAGUUGAUCUUAUAUUGUUAUGCUGACUAUAUUAAUCCUGAGCUACCAUUAAAAUAAAUUUAUAUUCUCGUUGUGAAUUCGAAAGGAGAAGCAAUGACAGAGAAUGAAGAAUAUAAUGAAUAAGAUCUUUACUUUAGUAAAAUAAAUAAUUGAUUUGUGGCUAGGACAAAAAUACAUCUAGAUUGCGUUACUUUGUUACAACAAGAAAAUAUAUAUAAAUGCAUUCGGAUUAGGUUAUCACAUAUAAACCAAGGGAAGAUAUAUAAAUGCAUUUGGAUUGGGUUAUCACAUGUCCGCUAAAUAAUGUUCUUGUGAGGUUAAUUUUGAUAGAAGAUUAGAGAAUCAAAAGACCAUGAUUACAUAAUAAAAUCCAUAAAUCAAUAACUAGAUAAUCAAAUAAGUUGAUGAAAUUGACACUCGACAUGAUUGUUAACGAAUCCAUAAUACUAGAUCGAUUCAUUUAUUGAUUGCAUAAAAAUAAUCUUCUCUUGUUUAACUGUUCAUUAGCUAUUUUCUUUUUAUUAUUUUAUUUUGUAAAUUCAUAAAUUUGUCUUUGCAAUAUAUCAAUUGAGUAAUUAAUUACAAUUAGUAUAAUAUAGUAAAAUAGUUAAUCACUAUGUCCCUAUGGGUUCUAAAUACGGCUUACAAGAGCCACUUUGUUACAUGUACGACCACGUACUCUUGAGUGUGCAUUUAGAUGAAAUAGGGUACUCCACUUUCUAAAGAACCUGCUUCCCCUAGAGGUUGGGAGGCUAACCUUGCUGCGGUGCAGGGAUAUUUAUAAAGGACUUAGAUACACAAGCGAAGAUUGUCUCCUUAUAUCUCAAUUACCUUAGUGGACCUAGGUCAUGCUUACGCUAAUCUUCGAAGGGAUCUAUAUAAGAAAAAAAUAAAUACUACUCCCGAUAUUGCAUGCUUACGAGGACGUGGAUGGUUGUGCAAGUUUUGAUUGGGUGCACCUCCCACACCAAGAAACUUUCAAAGCUGACCAAGAAGGACAUUGAUGAGUCCUCCUACCUUAAUGGGAUUGUGGAGUAGAGCUCGAAUGCCUCAAUCUCCAAAGAUAGUGCCACCAUCUAGACGUCCUCUUCCUCCUCUUAUUUACACUUAAUUGUAUUAGAUUUUGGUUUCUGCCAUUUAGAUCUUUUAACAAAAAGUUGUUUAGCUAAAUCAUAUAAAGUAACACUGGCUUAAUACAUUUGAUAAGUAAAAGUUUUUUGGAAAAUAAUUCAUAACAAAUCCCCAAAACCUAACCUAAACUAGUAAUGGAACACUAUACAAAGAAUAAAGACUCCAUGAUACUACGUCCAUGCAAAAUAGAGAGGGCACAAGCUGCUAUAAAGUUAUCAUUAUCGCUACUAUAGAAACCUCAACUAACAUGCACAAUGUCUAUAUCCUUAAUUGGAGAUAUAGUAAGUGUAGCAUUAGCACAAAUAUACAUACUAGAAGUCAUCAUUGGCCAUUCAAGGUUAGAAACAAAUUAAUAACAAAUAAGAAGAAAUCAUAAUAUUAAGUAACAUUCCAGUUUCUAAAUCCCAAAUUAUGAAAUAAUAACACAAAAACAUAAAACAUCCCUGAACAUAUCUGUCAUUUAACAUAUUAGUAUAUCUUUGUCCUUUAAUCACCUACUCUAUCUCAUACCCUCUCAUCACUUAAUCAAUCUAUUGAAUGGAGUUUCACUAUUCCUUACUCACUCUUGAUUGGAUCUAUAUACAUCAUGAAAUUACAGUCUUAUGACAACCUCGCUUAGACUGGUCUGUCUCAAUACUCUGCUAACCCAACACUUUACAGGUCUUACAACCACUUAGGUACUAAUGACCUAACUAAUGUGUAAAGAGGGACAAUAAUUUAGAAUAUUAUCCCGUAAAUAUAUGCUAAGAAAGUUAACAUUAGACUCAAAUUAUUACGUUCUUUAGAUUCAUAGUAUGCUACUAAAUUUCGCUAGUUCUAUCAAUGGAUUACUUCACUCAAGAAUUCAAUGAUGACACAUAGAAUAUAGUAGAAUGUCAAGGUAUAUGAAUUAAUGCAUGUAUGAAAGUUGUCCACAUUAUCUCUCCCCUUUCUCAACCUUAUCAACAUCACAAUCAUUAGCAAUCCCAUAAACAUCAUGGGUUACAAAUCAACAUUAUUACCAUCACUUCAACUAAGCAUCAACAAUAGCAUAAGCAUGAUUUGAAUAAUAACAUAGACAUUAAUGACACCUUACCUCUAGAAAAGCAAAUGUAUAAAUAAACAAUGAAACCAAUAAUCAUGAGCAUUUCUUGAAAGCUACAAUAGUUACAAAUUCGCAUUCCUUCAUAUGGAUAUCGCUAUUAUUUCCAAACAUAUACUUAGGUACAUAUAUCAUAAGACUUCUCACUCUAUAAGUUUAACCCAAAUUAAAUAUUUAGACAUAGACACAGUUACUCACCUUGUUUUUCACCACUCUUGUUCAUGUCCCUAACUUAAAACUCAAAAUCCUUUCUAAAUGCUUCUUUGGAAACUCUUUCACUUAGCAUUACCUAUCUGAGUCGGAUCAGAGUCUAUCUAAGACACAAUUAGGUUACUCUCAACCCUUAAUCCUUAAUUAAAUUUUGUUACCCUUCUUAAACAUAAGAUCAAAUGAUCAAAUUUACCAAGUGCACCCUCUAUCACACCCUAUCUUAAUACUACUCCCCAUUUUACUGAACUUAACUCAUACGGUAAUUAUGAGUUGUAAUAUUUCAUAAACUUAAUACAAUUAUCAAAACAUUUAACCCAUUUCACAUCAAGAAUACUACAUUAUUAUGGGAAAAUAUGAAUAAUCUCAAUAUUAAAACCUAAUUGUACUAUUGUUGUUUAUCGUUGCCGUUCAUCCAGUCACCAUACCUAAAGGCCUAAUGCAUAAUAACUCCUGAGAUUUAUAUCUAUAUUAAAUAGAUAUAUCCCAUGUAUUGAUGUAAAAAUAAGAAUUUCGUAACCUAAAUCUUAGCCAAAUCAUAACAAUAUCGAGAGAAAAGAGUUGAACCAUAAGUACUAAGCACCUUACCAUGGCUGGGUCCUGUCAGGUGUGCCUCAAAACCCUACUUAUGAACCCUGGUAUAUGAGAUCUCAUGGUUAGGGAAGUGGAGUUUUUUAGAGUGUUUUUAAGGGAAGGGAGUGACUUAGGAAAAUGUUAAAG